rnacentral:tRNA from 1 species
UCCCUGGAGGUCCAGUGGUUAGAACUCCACACUUUCAAUGCUGAGGGUGUGGGUUCGAUCCCUGGUCAGGGAA